UACAGAGGGUGCAAGCGUUAAUCGGAAUUACUGGGCGUAAAGCGCACGUAGGCGGUUUUUUAAGUCAGAUGUGAAAGCCCCGGGCUCAACCUGGGAAUUGCAUUUGAAACUGGGAAACUAGAGUGUGUGAGAGGGGGGUAGAAUUCCAAGUGUAGCGGUGAAAUGCGUAGAGAUUUGGAGAAAUACCAGUGGCGAAGGCGGCCCCCUGGCACAACACUGACGCUCAGGUGCGAAAGCGUGGGGAGCAAACAGG
rnacentral:rRNA from 1 species